GACGAACCGUGCAAACGUUGUUCGGAAUCACUGGGCUUAAAGGGCGCGUAGGCGGCAGACCAAGUCCGGGGUGAAAUCUUUCGGCUUAACCGGAAAAGGGCCUUGGAUACUGGUUUGCUCGAGGGAGGUAGGGGCAUGUGGAACUUCUGGUGGAGCGGUGAAAUGCGUUGAUAUCAGAAGGAACGCCGGUGGCGAAAGCGACGUGCUGGAUCUCUUCUGACGCUGAUGCGCGAAAGCCAGGGGAGCAACGGG
rnacentral:rRNA from 1 species